CCUUCGGGAGCUUGUACAGGUGCUGCAUGGCUGUCGUCAGCUCGUGUCGUGAGAUGUUCGGUUAAGUCCGCUAACGAGCGCAACCCUCGCUGUGUGUUACAAGUGUCACACGGAACUGCCGGUCAUAAACCGGAGGAAGGUGGGGAUGACGUCAAGUCAGCAUGGCCUUUAUAUCCUGGGCUACACACACGCUACAAUGGGAAGGGACAAUAGGUUGCGAAGCCGCGAGGUGGAGCCAAUCCAGUAAAACUUCCCUCAGUUCAGAUUGCAGGCUGCAACUCGCCUGCAUGAAGUUGGAGUUGCUAGUAAACGCAGGUCAGCCAUACUGCGUUGAAUACGUUCCCGGGGCUU
rnacentral:rRNA from 1 species